rnacentral:rRNA from 1 species
GACGAACGCUGGCGGCGUGCUUAACACAUGCAAGUCGAACGGGCCUUGUCCCCUUUUUUUUGGGGGUGGGGUUAGUGGCGAACGGGUGAGUAACACGUGAGUAACCUGCCCCUCACUUCUGGAUAACCGCUUGAAAGGGUGGCUAAUACGGGGUGUUCUGGCCUGCUCGCAUGGGUGGGUUUGGAAAGAUUCGACCGGUUUUGGUUGUUUUGGUGGGGGAUGGGCUCGCGGCCUAUCAGCUCGUUGGUGGGGGGAUGGCCUGCCAAGGCUUUGACGGGUAGGCGGCCUGAGAGGGUGGGCGGUCACACUGGGACUGAGACACGGCCCAGACUCCUACGGGAGGCAGCAGUGGGGAAUAUUGCACAAUGGGCGCAAGCGUGAUGCAGCGACGCUGCGUGAGGGAUGGAGGCCUUCGGGUUGUGAACCUCUUUCGCCAGUGAAGAAGGUCCUGCUCUUUGUGGUGGGGUUGACGGUAGCUGGGUUAAUGAAGCGCCGGCUAACUACGUG